rnacentral:rRNA from 1 species
UAGGGAAUCUUCAACAAUGGACGCAAGUCUGAUGGAGCAACGCCGCGCGAGUGAAGAAGGUUUUCGGAUCGUAAAGCUCUGUUGUUGGAGAAGAAGGAUAGAGGAAGUAACUGGUCUUUAUUUGACGGUAAUCAACCAGAAAGUCACGGCUAACUACGUGCCAGCAGCCGCGGUAAUACGUAGGUGGCAAGCGUUGUCCGGAUUUAUUGGGCGUAAAGCGAGCGCAGGCGGAAUGAUAAGUCUGAUGUGAAAGCCCACGGCUCAACCGUGGAACUGCUUCGGAAACUGUCAUUCUUGAGUGCAGAAGAGGAGAGUAGAAUUCCAUGUGUAGCGGUGCAAUGCGUAGAUCUAUGGAAGAACACCAGUGGCGAAGGCGGCUCUCUGGUCUGCAACUGACGCUGAGGCUCGAAAGCAUGGGUAGCGAACAGG